UACGAAGGGGGCUAGCGUUGCUCGGAAUCACUGGGCGUAAAGCGCACGUAGGCGGACUCUUAAGUCGGUGGUGAAAUCCUGGAGCUCAACUCCAGAACUGCCUUCGAUACUGGGAGUCUCGAGUCCGGGAGAGGUGAGUGGAACUGCGAGUGUAGAGGUGAAAUUCGUAGAUAUUCGCAAGAACACCAGUGGCGAAGGCGGCUACCUGGCCCAUUCUUGACGCUGAGGCGCGAAAGCUAGGGGAGCAAACGGG
rnacentral:rRNA from 1 species